AAUUUUGGUAACUAUUGCUGGCAACACAAUUUACGGUAAACUUUUCACCUUGAUCAUCUGGAGAUUAUUGUAGAAAUUAAUGAAUUAAAAGAGGUUAGAGUAUAGAAACUUCUAAAAUGUUUUCUGCACUGCGACGAUUACCACAAUUUGCAGGACGAAGAGUAUUCCAAUCUACUCGCAAUCAUUAUGAUUAUCCUGGUAAAUCAGGAGAGCCAUUAUCCAUUAUAGAAAUGUGGCUUCAUGGUGCUGCUAUUUCUUUUGGCAUUCUCGCAAUACCUGUGUGGGUUCUUACCCAUGUUCAAGAAUACCGGGGAAUAACAAAAGAAUAAGGUUGUAAAUCAAUGGAAGCUGGUGUCUUAAGAAGAGUGCAGAAUGAUGUUGAAAGUGUAGUUUUUCUUUUGUAAAUUCCGUAUAUGUAUAAUUUCUAUGAAAAGCCUAUUAAAGUAUAGUGAAAAAUA